UUGAACGCUGGCGGCAGGCCUAACACAUGCAAGUCGAGCGGAUGAAGGGAGCUUGCUCCUGGAUUCAGCGGCGGACGGGUGAGUAAUGCCUAGGAAUCUGCCUGGUAGUAGGGGAUAACGUCCGGAAACGGGCGCUAAUACCGCAUACGUCCUGAGGGAGAAAGUGGGGGAUCUUCGGACCUCACGCUAUCAGAUGAGCCUAGGUCGGAUUAGCUAGUUGGUGGGGUAAAGGCCUACCAAGGCGACGAUCCGUAACUGGUCUGAGAGGAUGAUCAGUCACACUGGAGUGGCUCGACAGACCAGAUCGCCACGGAGGGCGGUGUGGGGGACUAUUCGACGAUGUGAGAAAGGCAGAUCCACCAUGCGCGCUUGGGUGUGAAGGUUCUGGUGAAUGUGAAGAAUUUUAGGUAGGGAGGUGUGGCAGUAAUUUAACACGUUGCUGUUUUUCCGUUCCCAAGCGAAUAAGCGCCGGCCACCGUCGGGCCAGCGGCGUGGAGAAUAUGCGGACGACCCCCCGGCUCCCC
rnacentral:rRNA from 1 species